UCUAAUGACGCUGGCGGCAUGCCUUACCAUGCAAGUCGAACGGCAGCGCGGGAGCAAUCCUGGCGGCGAGUGGCAAACGGGUGAGUAAUACAUCGGAACGUGCCCAAUUCUUGGGGGAUAACGCAGCAAAAGCUGUGCUAAUAAUUAUUUACAAUCUACUUAUCCCCUUC
rnacentral:rRNA from 1 species